UUCACCAUCUAGGUCAAAGAAACAAAUAUUGUCUAUGUUGUUCUUCAUUCAAGGAGUAAACCCAAAAAGUGUGAAAGGAAUAAUCUCAGCUCCAGGAAACUGACUAUUAAAACCAAUGAUUGCAUACGUUUUACCUCAUGAAAGAGACUUUUUAGAUCAUACGAUGGCAAAGAUUUAGCUCAAAGAAAAUAUGGAAGAAAUUUUUGUUUUUACGCUUAGGAGAAGGCUUAAAUACGGUAAAGCUUUGGGCAAUCCUGAUGGUGCUCUUAUCAAUGGACGAAGUCCAAAUGGUUAUUCAUUAACAGUGAAUCAAGAGCAGGUGUUGACUGCUACCGAGGUUGGACGGGAUGGUGUAAACGUGUGGGCCACACCAAGCACAUGAGGAGCCACAACAAUAUCCAACAUACUAUACAUUCACAUCAUAUGUGGAGACUCUCAAAUGGUGUUUAAGAUACUAUUGCUUGCUUCACCUAUGAACAAAAUGGUAAAUCUAUGGACAAAUUGUGAAGAUAUACAAUCUCAGGGCACUCUUGGCUGUGGUGGCUUAGAUAUUCCUCAACAAGUUCAGGUAAAUAUGCACCAUCUACAAUGAUUCAGUCUACUUUAAUCUGGGUUUUCAUUGUAGCUCCAGAGAUAGCAGCUGCAACAUCAGCCACUUAUGCAACAUCCAUUGCCUCCGACUUUGGAAAAUCAUUUCUAGUGGUGUGCCACAAGAGAAACUUCUGCCUUCGGGCCAUCCACAAGAUCCACACACUUUGUAAAUUAUAUUUCACCACCAUCAUCAACAACUUUUACUCAAUUAUUUCCAAUUUGUAGAUGCAGUUCUAGAAAUCACAAGGUGUAAUAAUUUUUUGAAGGAUGCAGUGGACUUGAACGAGUUGUUGGCAAGUGAUGGACAAGCCUCCUUCCAAUCCCCUCAUAUCAAAAUCAUGGAGGAACACUAUUAUGAAAAUAUUUUGAACUGGUUUUAUCUAGGUCUGUAACACCUUUUGUUUGCUUUGAUCUAUUCCUUUGUAUAUCAAGUUGGU